rnacentral:rRNA from 1 species
UACGUAGGUGGCAAGCGUUACUCGGAAUCACUAGGCGUAAAGCGCAGGUAGGCGGUUGGAUAAGUUUCUUGUGAAAGCUCCCGGCUUAACUGGGAGAGGCCAAGGAAUACUAUCUGACUCGAGUGUGGUAGGGGUAACUGGAAUUCCCGGUGUAGUGGUGGAAUGCGUAAAUAUCGGGAGGAACACCAGUGGCGAAGGCGGUUGCCUGGGGCUUUGGCUGACGCUGAUGCGCGAAAGCGUGGGGAG